ACAAAUACAUAAGCCACAACACAAAUACAUAAGCGACAACGGAAGUAGCUAGCUAUGUGACAACGGAAGUAGCUAAGUGACAACGGAAGUGAACGUGUUGUUGAUAAACGGAGCCGGAGGAUGAGCAGAAGGAGAAGUUCUUGUAUGUUUGAGAAGUUAUGUUUUGUCCAUUUUGUGGAGUGAACCUUCAACAUGUUCUGUCAUAUUGUGGGAAAUGUGGCAGAAACGUUCAGUUUUUAUGGAGUCUUCAAGAUGAAGGUCCUGAAGCUACAAUGGCAGAUGAACUUAUUCAGAAGUAUUUCACAGAAGGCCAUAGUUAUGAAGUAAUAAUGGACUUACUGGCAACCAAGCACAACAUUUCAUUGAGUCUUAGCACUUUAAAAAGAAGACUACAGGAUGCACGCCUGACCCGGAGGACAAACUACACUCCGUUUGCAACUGUGCAGGCAGCUAUAUCUGAGGAACUUAAGGGAUCAGGCCAGCUCUUAUGAUACCGAGCAAUGUGUCAGACUCUGAGACAGAAGUACUCUCUUAUAGUCAGAAGAGAUGAUGUGAUGCGCCUAAUGGGAGAACUGGAUCCGUCCGGAAAAGAAAAUCG